UAGGGAAUUUUCGGCAAUGGGCGCAAGCCUGACCGAGCAACGCCGCGUGAACGAAGAAGGUUUUCGGAUCGUAAAGUUCUGUUGUAAGGGAAGAACGAGCAAAACAGGGAAUGGUUUUGAAGUGACGGUACCUUACCAGCAAGUCACGGCUAACUACGUGCCAGCAGCCGCGGUAAUACGUAGGUGGCAAGCGUUAUCCGGAAUUAUUGGGCGUAAAGGGUGCGCAGGCGGUUGAUUAAGUUUAAGGUGAAAGUUCGGGGCUCAACCCCGUGAUGCCUUAGAAACUGGUCGACUCGAGUGCAGGAGAGGUGAGUGGAAUUCCAUGUGUAGCGGUAAAAUGCGUAGAGAUAUGGAGGAACACCAGUGGCGAAAGCGGCUCACUGGCCUGUAACUGACGCUGAGGCACGAAAGCGUGGGGAGCAAAUAG
rnacentral:rRNA from 1 species